GAUUGAACGCUGGCGGCAUGCUUUACACAUGCAAGUCGAACGGCAGCGAGGUAGUGCUUGCACUACUGUCGGCGAGUGGCGAACGGGUGAGUAAUAUAUUGGAACGUACCGAGUAAUGGGGGAUAACUAUCCGAAAGGAUAGCUAAUACCGCAUACGACCUGAGGGUGAAAGUGGGGGAUCUUCGGACCUCGCGUUAUUCGAGCGGCCAAUAUCUGAUUAGGUAGUUGGUGGGGUAAGAGCCUACCAAGCCGACGAUCAGUAGUGGGUCUUAGAGGAUGAUCCGCCACACUGGGACUGAGACACGGCCCAGACUCCUACGGGAGGCAGCAGUGGGGAAUUUUGGACAAUGGGCGAAAGCCUGAUCCAGCCAUGCCGCGUGUCUGAAGAAGGCCUUCGGGUUGUAAAGGACUUUUGUUAGGGAAGAAAAGGUUGAUGCUAAUAUCAUUAACUGAUGACGGUACCUAAAGAAUAAGCACCGGCUAACUACGU
rnacentral:rRNA from 1 species